rnacentral:rRNA from 1 species
UACGAAGGGGGCUAGCGUUGUUCGGAUUUACUGGGCGUAAAGCGCACGUAGGCGGAUCGUUAAGUCAGGGGUGAAAUCCUGGGGCUCAACCCCAGAACUGCCUUUGAUACUGGCGAUCUCGAGUCCGGAAGAGGUGAGUGGAACUCCUAGUGUAGAGGUGGAAUUCGUAGAUAUUAGGAAGAACACCAGUGGCGAAGGCGGCUCACUGGUCCGGUACUGACGCUGAGGUGCGGAAAGCGUGGGGAGCAAACAGG